UACGUAGGGUCCGAGCGUUGUCCGGAAUUAUUGGGCGUAAAGGGCUCGUAGGCGGUUUGUCGCGUCGGGGGUGAAAACUCAGGGCUCAACCCUGAGCGUGCUUCCGAUACGGGCAGACUAGAGGUAUGCAGGGGAGAACGGAAUUCCUGGUGUAGCGGUGGAAUGCGCAGAUAUCAGGAGGAACACCGGUGGCGAAGGCGGUUCUCUGGGCAUUACCUGACGCUGAGGAGCGAAAGCGUGGGGAGCGAACAGG
rnacentral:rRNA from 1 species